rnacentral:misc_RNA from 1 species
GUGAAUCAUCGAAUUUUUGAACGCAUAUUGCGCUCUCUGGUAUUCCGGAGAGUAUGCCUAUUUGAGGGUCAGUUUAAAUAAUAUAAAUUUCAAGUUUUCUCUGAAUUUAAAAUGGGUGUUCCAUUUUUUGUAGUCGCCUAAAAUCCAAGACAAGCUCAUUUUCUUUUGUGGGGUGAUACUUUCAGUUACCUCUUGACUUAACCAGGAAUCAUCUAGCGUGUUAUUAAUUUUGCAAGAGAUAAAAACUUCCGUAGUUGUAUCUC